CAGUAGCCACGGUAAUACAGAGGGUGCGAGCGUUAAUCGGAUUUACUGGGCGUAAAGCGUGUGUAGGUUGUUGUUCAAGUCAGUUGUGAAAUCCCUGGGCUCAACCUGGGAACUGCUUCUGAGACUGAACGACUAGAGUACGGUAGAGGGUGGUGGAAUUUCCGGUGUAGCGGUGAAAUGCGUAGAUAUCGGAAGGAACAUCAAUGGCGAAGGCAGCCACCUGGGCCUGUACUGACACUGAGACACGAAAGCGUGGGGAUCAAACAGGAUUAGAUACCCGCGUAGUCCCUGUCUCUUAUAC
rnacentral:rRNA from 1 species